GAUACCCGAAUGGGGAAACCCAGUGUGACUCGUCACACUAUCAUUAACUGAAUCCAUAGGUUAAUGAGGCGAACCGGGGGAACUGAAACAUCUAAGUACCCCGAGGAAAAGAAAUCAACCGAGAUUCCCCCAGUAGCGGCGAGCGAACGGGGAGGAGCCCAGAGCCUGAAUCAGCAUGUGUGUUAGUGGAAGCGUCUGGAAAGGCGCGCGAUACAGGGUGACAGCCCCGUACACAAAAGCGCAUGUGCUGUGAGCUCGAUGAGUAGGGCGGGACACGUGGUAUCCUGUCUGAAUAUGGGGGGACCAUCCUCCAAGGCUAAAUACUCCUGACUGACCGAUAGUGAACCAGUACCGUGAGGGAAAGGCGAAAAGAACCCCGGCGAGGGGAGUGAAAAAGAACCUGAAACCGUGUACGUACAAGCAGUGGGAGCACCCUUUGGGUGUGACUGCGUACCUUUUGUAUAAUGGGUCAGCGACUUAUAUUCUGUAGCAAGGUUAACCGAAUAGGGGAGCCGGAGGGAAACCGAGUCUUAAC
rnacentral:rRNA from 1 species